AGAAUCAACGCUGGCGGCGUGCCUAACACAUGCAAGUCGCACGAGAAAGGGGAGCAAUCCCUGAGUAAAGUGGCGCACGGGUGAGUAACACGUGAAUAAUCUACCUCCGAGUGGGGAAUAACUGAGAGAAAUCUUAGCUAAUACCGCAUAACACUUACGAGUCAAAGCAGCAAUGCGCUUGGAGAGGAGUUCGCGGCCGAUUAGUUAGUUGGCGGGGUAAUGGCCCACCAAGACGAUGAUCGGUAUCCGGCCUGAGAGGGCGCACGGACACACUGGAACUGAAACACGGUCCAGACUCCUACGGGAGGCAGCAGUGGGGAAUUUUGCGCAAUGGGGGAAACCCUGACGCAGCAACGCCGCGUGGAGGAUGAAGCCCCUUGGGGUGUAAACUCCUUUCGAUCGGGAAGAUAAUGACGGUACCGAUAUAAGAAGCCCGGCUAACUUCGCGCCAGCAGCCGC
rnacentral:rRNA from 1 species